GAGUAGACAGCUGUUGUGACUCACCAAGCAGGAAACUGACCCCUAUGCCUGGACAGAGGGCGACUGGUUUUGCUCAGUGCCGGCUCAGUUCAAUGAUCGGGCUCCCCUGGACCAGGCUGUGGGCUAAGUGAGGCAGGUCUCAUCAUGCCUUAAGGGAAUCAGGUUAACGGGAGUGGCUCUGGUCAGGACCAAAUGAAGAGAGGCGCUCUUGUUAGGAUGAAACGAUUCUGGCUUGUAGUACUGAGACAAUGGCUAUACUGAAUUCCCCUACACUGACCACCCUAGCUGAAACUGUCUCACUCGACUUAGCAGCUAAAUGACCUCGCAUUCUGGCACAGGCUAGUGACUGUAGCCUUUUGCCGUAGUCUAUCCUGCUGGAAGUGCCUAAACACUGCGUGCCUUGACACUGCAAACCAGCACCCUAUCCCGGCUCCUCUCCAAUUCAGUAGGAAGCUUAGGGGCAGAUGUGGACCAGGCGAUCACCCCCGAGAGAACACAGUCCUCAGUGGUUCAGUGGAUGCGGCCGUAGCUCAGAGAGUUGCUGGCAGUGGGAAGGUGCAUACACAGGGCAGUGGACCAGGGACCACAGGAAAUCCACCACCCGGUCCGCGGGGAUCGCGGCAGUGCUUCGGAAGGCCAGCAGAGGGCAGCACUGCGAGCAGAGGGCUCUGGGGCGGGGCGAGGCUCCGUGCGCAGGCCCACGGGAGCCCCCAGGAUUGGAUGGCACCGAUCUCGCCCGGCCUGAAGCUCCCGCGUGAACCCAACCGGUUUGGGGCAGGAGUCACGUUGGUUCCGUGGUAAAGAAAGGCGUUGAACUCUCGCUGACGAGCGUGGAACCGCUGUGAUUGGUGAGAAGCCAUGAUCGGGUCUUAGGACAGUUUUUGCUCCCUGGGCUGGGGCGGUUUGGAGGCCAAGAGCGCCAUUCUCACUCAAGGAUUAGUGAGGCUUGUAGGACUUAGGGAGAAACAGAGCAUUAAUUCAUGAUUAAUUCCACAGGUAUUUUUGAACACCUCCUGUGUGCUAGGACUUUGCUAGAUGAACAGCGUCCUUGCCUUCAUGGAAUUAUAUUCCAGGUGGGAGAGAGCCACUCAAGGCUGAGUUUUGGGUUUUGCCUUGCCUCCUUUUGCCUUGCUAUUUAAUGAGAUGGGAGAAUGCUGUAAGUGGAUGGAAUCAAAGAUUUUUUGAAUAUAUUAUGUUGAGACUCCUAACAUAAUAUGUUAGGGUUAUGUUGGGGUUUUUCCCCAACAUACAACAUAUGAACUAUAUACUUGGAAGGAUUUUACAGUGAAUUUUACAGUGAAUAUGCUUACCACCUAGACCCUAUUAUUAUUUAGCCAUGCUUGUUUUUCAUCUCUCUGUCCUCUAUCUGUCAAUCACCUGGUAGAUUUUUUUAAUUGUGGUAAAACAUAUAAUAUAAACCACCUAGUAGAUUUUUAAGUUGGUAUGUCAGAUAUGCCAUUGGAAAUUUAAGUCUAAAGUCCUAGGGGAUUUUAGGGCUAGAAUUGGUCUUUGGAAUCAUUAGCACAUAAGUGGUAUUUAGAUUAAAGGACUAAGUGAAACCACGUAGGUUGAGAGUGUAGAUAGAGAAGAGGAAGGGAAGCCAGNNNNNNNNNNNNNNNNNNNNNNNNNNNNNNNNNNNNNNNNNNNNNNNNNNNNNNNNNNNNNNNNNNNNNNNNNNNNNNNNNNNNNNNNNNNNNNNNNNNAAGUGGUAUUUAAAUUAAAGGACUAAGUGAAACCACCUAGGUUGAGAGUGUAGAUAGAGAAGAGGAAGGGAAGCCAGAGGGAGAUGGUGGUCAUCCAUGGUGAAUACACGAGAAUAGUUUGGCAAUUAAGAGGAUUUUCAUCAUUUUAACAAUAAAAACUUUGGUAGAGUAGAGGGGUCUUAAAGUCAGGUGGAAUUUUCUUUUAAGAUAGGGGAAACUAGAAUAUGUUUAUGUGGUAGUGGGAUUGAAUUCAGAAAAAGGGGAAAAUGGGAACAUUUCAGGGGAAGUACUUGAAUACCUCAGAGAGGAGAGCCCAGUGCUGGUGAGCAGUUGGCUUUGAAAUGAAUAGGAACAUAUAUUCCAUUGUAUCUAGAGGGGAAGCUGAGGAAAGUACAGAUGCAGACAGGUGGUAGAGGCACCAUCUGUCUAUGAAGGCAGCCACUGGCUGAGAGUAAGGGCAGCGGGGGAGAGGAGAAGAGGCGUUAGGAGAUACCUGUGACAUAGCCCUUCUGGAGAGUGGGAAAGUGAACUAAGGGAAAUGGAAUUGGAUUGCUAGGCAGCGCU
rnacentral:lncRNA from 1 species